AACGAACGCUGGCGGCGUGGAUUAGGCAUGCAAGUCGAACGCGAACGAGCCUUCGGGCUCUAGUAGAGUGGCGCAAGGGUGAGUAAUGCGUGGAUAACCUGCCCCUGAGAUCGGAAUAACGGCGGGAAACUGCCGCUAAUGCCGGAUGGCCCCGACGAACGGCAUCGUUUGUCAGGUAGAGGAGGGGACCCUUCGGGGCCUUCUGUUCAGGGAGGGGUCCACGACCUAUCAGCUAGUUGGUGGGGUAACGGCCCACCAAGGCUUUGACGGGUAGGCGGGCUGAGAGGCUGACCGCCCACACUGGGACUGAGACACUGCCCAGGCUCCUACGGGAGGCUGCAGUCGAGAAUCUUCCGCAAUGGACGAAAGUCUGACGGAGCGACGCCGCGUGCGGGAUGAAGGUCUUUGGAUUGUAAACCGCUGUCGGGUGUUAUGAAACCGUACAGGUCAAUACCCUGUGCGCUGACAAAGGCACCAAAGGAAGUCACGGCUAACUCUGUGCCAGCAGCCGCGGUAAUACAGAGGGUGCAAGCGUUGUCCGGAUUUAUUGGGUUUAAAGGGUGCGUAGGCGGAACUUUAAGUCAGUGGUGAAAUCCUGCGGCUCAACCGUAGCACUGCCAUUGAUACUG
rnacentral:rRNA from 1 species